CUAGACUUGAACUGCUAUAAAAUCCUGCUUAAGCUGAGAGACAGAGAAGAGAGGGACAGGAGAAGGAGGGAUACUCCUCCACCAUCUCCUUUUGAAACAGACUCUUUCAGUUAGCUGGCACUUUGUUUGGUGGAGCAGCUGGACUUUGUAACGACUGGGAUUUUUUUUGUUUUCACUCUUACCUUGUGUCCACAUAUUUUCCAGUGCCCAGUUGCUGUGGACUUGAUGGCAGCUUUGUUUACGCCCCAGACCAGGAGUCACGCAGAAGGUGAUCACAGGAACAUGUCCAAGGUUAAUGGAACAAAUGUCUUAUGCUGUCAUGGAAAACAUGGAGCCUGCAAGUGCGUGUCUGCGUCAGUUCUCUGGUGGGAGCAUCAUGCGAAAGGACAUGGAGGGAUGAAGGGAAGCCUGGGUAACUCGGAGUGGCCCUAUGAGGCCGUCGACACAGAGUAAUCCUGGCCAUAAAUAAUCCGCCCAGGCGCUGUUCCUGUAUCCCCAAGAAGUGCUUUCUUGGAAAUAUUGCACUGAGCCAGCUCGACCUCUGAGCCCUCCUCAGAGAGAUGCAUAAUGCAGAGGCC